rnacentral:rRNA from 1 species
GGUACCACUUGGAAACAGGUGCUAAUACCGGAUAAGAAAGCAGAUCGCAUGAUCAGCUUUUAAAAGGCGGCGUAAGCUGUCGCUAUGGGAUGGCCCCGCGGUGCAUUAGCUAGUUGGUAAGGUAAAGGCUUACCAAGGCGAUGAUGCAUAGCCGAGUUGAGAGACUGAUCGGCCACAUUGGGACUGAGACACGGCCCAAACUCCUACGGGAGGCAGCAGNA